rnacentral:rRNA from 1 species
AGAGUUUGAUCCUGGCUCAGGAUGAACGCUGGCGGUACGCUUAGCACAUGCAAGUCGAACGGGAUGCUUAGGCAUCUAGUGGCGGACGGGUGAGUAACGCGUGAGAAUCUGGCUCCAGGUCGGGGAUAACAGUUGGAAACGACUGCUAAUACCGGAUGUGCCGAAAGGUGAAAGAUUUAUUGCCUGGAGAUGAGCUCGCGUCUGAUUAGCUAGUUGGUGGUGUAAGGGACCACCAAGGCGUCGAUCAGUAGCUGGUCUGAGAGGAUGAUCAGCCACACUGGGACUGAGACACGGCCCAGACUCCUACGGGAGGCAGCAGUGGGGAAUUUUCCGCAAUGGGCGAAAGCCUGACGGAGCAAUACCGCGUGAGGGAGGAAGGCUCUUGGGUCGUAAACCUCUUUUCUCAAGGAAGAAGAAAGUGACGGUACUUGAGGAAUAAGCAUCGGCUAACUCCGUGCCAGCAGCCGCGGUAAUACGGAGGAUGCAAGCGUUAUCCGGAAUGAUUGGGCGUAAAGGGUCUGCAGGUGGAACUGAAAGUCUGCUGUUAAAGAGUUUGGCUUAACCAAAUAAAAGCGGUGGAAACUACAGAACUAGAGUGCGGUAGGGGCAAAAGGAAUUCCUGGUGUAGCGGUGAAAUGCGUAGAUAUCAGGAAGAACACCGGUGGCGAAAGCGUUUUGCUAGACCGUAACUGACACUGAGGGACGAAAGCUAGGGGAGCGAAUGGGAUUAGAUACCCCAGUAGUCCUAGCCGUAAACGAUGGAUACUAGGCGUGGCUUGUAUCGACCCGAGCCGUGCCGGAGCUAACGCGUUAAGUAUCCCGCCUGGGGAGUACGCACGCAAGUGUGAAACUCAAAGGAAUUGACGGGGGCCCGCACAAGCGGUGGAGUAUGUGGUUUAAUUCGAUGCAACACGAAGAACCUUACCAAGACUUGACAUCCUGCGAAUCCUGGUGAAAGCUGGGAGUGCCUUAGGGAGCGCAGAGACAGGUGGUGCAUGGCUGUCGUCAGCUCGUGUCGUGAGAUGUUGGGUUAAGUCCCGCAACGAGCGCAACCCUCGCUUUUAGUUGCCAGCAUUAAGUUGGGCACUCUAGAGAGACUGCCGGUGACAAACCGGAGGAAGGUGAGGAUGACGUCAAGUCAGCAUGCCCCUUACGUCUUGGGCUACACACGUACUACAAUGCUACGGACAGAGGGCAGCAAGCCAGGGAUGGCAAGCGAAUCCAGAAACCGUAGCUCAGUUCAGAUCGAAGGCUGCAACUCGCCUUCGUGAAGGAGGAAUCGCUAGUAAUUGCAGGUCAGCAUACUGCAGUGAAUUCGUUCCCGGGCCUUGUACACACCGCCCGUCACACCAUGGAAGUUGGUCACGCCCGAAGUCAUUACCCCAACCGAAAGGAGGGGGAUGCCUAAGGUAGGACUGGUGACUGGGGUGAAGUCGCAACAAGGUAGCCGUACCGGAAGGUGUGGCUGGAUCACCUCCUUU